ACUUCUUUUGACAUCUUGUUCGUGUAGUCUUAGCAUCUUACACGAAAUGUACAAGCAGACACAGGAAAAGCAUGUGGAAUGCAGUACAUUUUGUGGAAAGUGGAACAAAUUCACUGGGAAGGUCAUAAAAUCCUUGACUAGGGUCUCUGCUUGAUUUCCUAGGAGAUGUUAUUGACUCCUUUUAAGAGGAUGAAAUGAGUCUUCCACGUGAGAACCUUGAGCUACCAGUUGUUUCUUUCCACUGUGGGGCCAAGUAGAUGAAUGUGCUUGUGAAUAUAUAUACCUUGAGAAACCAUGAUGAAAAAUUCAGGAAAUCUCUAAUUUGUGUACCUAUCAUUUGGUUUAUACUUUGAAAGGUGACUGAAGACCUGUGAGUGUAAUAUUGGGAAACAGGUAAUUUCAAAAUCCAGAAUCUCCAUACAAUGCCUCGUUCCUCCACCACCUCCACAAAAAGUUAACCUUAUUGGGAAAGAGUAUCUUCUCACCCUCUCCAUUCACUAUUUUCUUUCUAUGUCAGCAUCUAUCAACACCUGUCAAUAUAUCUUUCCUAGCCUAAUGAGGUUAAAUACAUAUUUUAGCAUGUUCUUAAUCGACUGUUUGUUUAUUUCUCAGAAACAAAUAUAGAUUGUAUUUUAUUACUUGAAAGCAAUACAAAUUUAGGUAACAUAAUAAAAUGGUCAAUUUGGUACAAGGCAUUACUCUUAAAAAAAGCAGCAGUGAGAUGUGUUAAUAUCCACUUACAGGAGUAAGACACCAGCAAAAAGGAUUUCACCCUUUGUUAUAAAUUUUUACUUAUUGUUAUUGAAAAUACAUUAUUUCAUUACGAUGUUUGAAGC